GCCUCGCUUCACCGCUUGUCUCCUGAGCGUAAGUCCAAGAGUUUGUGAAAGGAGCUUGUUACUGGUUGCCGCGAACACUCUCGACCGCAACGCCUAAGGUUCAGGUGAGAGUUUUUCAGGUUCUGAGGAACCGAAGACCACAAAACAAAAUGUUUAUUUUGGGUGGAUCCUUGAUCGAUGCUUAUGGUCAAGGAAGAGCCUUUAGAACUUGUGGGAAUUCUUUUGAAAGUGGUACAUGCGGAGAAGGAGGGGUCCUUUGAACUCCUAGGUGAAAAUAGAAAAGUCACGAAUGAAUAGGAUUUUGUGUUGGAGCUUUCAAAAGGGAAGCCCUGCUCUUUCAGCACAGAUGGGUGAUACAUGGAGAAUUGUUACUGGAGCCACUGUCCAAAUGCAGAGGAAGUCAAGCAGGCUUUUGGACUCUGCAGGACAAUUCAACCUCGAAGAUAAAGCUUAAUCCAGAUCAAAAUAAAAGUCCACUCUUCCGAAAAUGGGAAACUGUAAUUUCACAAGUCUUCAAUCUCUCACCAUUGGCGGAUAUCCUGCUCCCAUGUCCAUUCCGAAGACCAUUCUUCCCACCAACCUUAGAUCCAGAAUUGUCCAAUGCUAGAAAAACGGUGCCUAGAGAAGGAAGGGGAAGAGUGAUCCAAGGUUUCUCAAAUCCCUGAAGUAACAAUAGAUAGCCAAAUUCAAUAAGGCCCAACCACUUUAAGUGAGAUAUGAAGAGCAUGAUUCAAUGACACUACAGACAUACAGGGCAGAUCAUUAUUAUUAUGGGAUUUUUUAUGGAUGGAAUGCUCAUCAACCAUGCAGGCAUGGCUGCGUCAAGUGGAUGUCAGAGGUUAUACAUGGUUAAGCAUAACAAUUAGUGCCUAGUGGGCACUUCAGAAAGCACUGGCAGAAUUCUGUCGAGACCUGGUUUAACUAUCCUGCUCACAAGAAUAGAAGACGUCCUCAUAAGUACCUCCAUCAGACUGUACGAUACCCAGUGAAGCAUCCUGAGAUAUUUGAAAAGUUUGGAUAUCUCCAUCUAGAGGGGUCCUCUUCUUUGGGCCUCAACAAAUGUGGUAAAACCCUUCUUGCAAAGGCAAUUGCUAGUGAGUGCCAACCCAACUUCAUCAGUGUGCAAGUUAACAGAGUUUCUCAUCAAGUGGUUCUUGUAAAGUGAGGUCAAUAUGCAAGAGCUAUUUGACAAGGCAGGCCAGUCAGCCCCAUGUGGUCUUUUCUUUGAUGAACUUGGUCUGAUUGCGAUUAAGGUACUAUGUCCCAUAACUCCGUUGGCUAUUUUGGCGCAAGUAAUUGUUAAUUUAACUUUCCUAAUCCUUUCUACAAGGGUGUGAACAUUGUCAAAGUUCGUUUUGAAGAGUUCCGGCCAGCUUCUCUUUAUUGUUAUGUAACAACAUGAUGUGGCUCAGCAAGACUCACUCACCUAGUAGCCUGAGUUAAACUUGGGAUAAGACCAAUUCAGAGGCUUCUGGUUAUUGAGAUAGGGAGGCGAAAGAGAGAGAACUUGAUUCUAAUUGGCACAGAUCAUACUGAUGGAGGCUUUUAUCGUGGAUCGAUUAUAUUGUUAUAGUUUUGGGAACGAAGUUUCCAUAGCAAUACAUUUAGCAGCAGUUUUUGGGCUUUUGAGAUGGUAAUUUCUGUUGCAAAAAAUCUUAUUUUGUUGUAGUGAUCCCUUUAUAUUUGGUUAACAUGUUGAGCAACUCUACGUGGGGUACAGUCUUUCUUCUUUGUUAAGAUUUUAUUUUCUGUUAUAAUUUAAAAUAACCUUGUUUAGAUUUUGGAUUUUUAAUAAAAUGUUGAUUUGGAAUUA